GACGGAGGGUGCUAGCGUUGUUCGGAAUCACUGGGCGUAAAGGGCGCGUAGGCGGCCUCAGGUGUCGGAUGUGAAAGCCCGGGGCUCAACCCCGGAGGUGCAUCCGAAACUCUGGGGCUGGAGGUCGGAAGAGGAGGGUGGAAUACCCAGUGUAGAGGUGAAAUUCGUAGAUAUCGGGAGGAACACCGGUGGCGAAGGCGGCGACCUGGGUCGAUACUGACGCUGAGGCGCGAAAGCGUGGGGAGCAAACAGG
rnacentral:rRNA from 1 species